rnacentral:rRNA from 1 species
AUGAAUGUUGGUACCAUCAUGGAGUCGAACGAUGCGACUUUCUUUGAGGAUAUUUUUCCUAUGAAGGAUAUGCCUAGCUCAUCUAGUCAGAGGUCAGAGACAACUCUUGGACCUACUGUUCCAUUGGAACAUUCCGAGAAGAAACACACAGAUAUUCCUGAGGAGGAUGACAAUGAAGCUCCUAGAAGGAGCAAGAGACAAAGGACCACAAAGUCAUUUGGUGAAGAUUUCAUUGUGUACCUCGUGAAUGAUACUCCCACUUCUAUUUCAGAAGCUUAUGCAUCUUCUGAUGCUGACUACUGGAAAGAAGCUGUGGAUAGUGAGAUGGAUUCUAUCAUGGCUAAUGGGACAUGGGAGAUCACUGAUCGUCCUUAUGGGUGUAAUCCUGUAGGGUGUAAGUGGGUGUUUAAGAAAAAGCUUAGGCCCGAUGGUACAAUUGAAUAG